GAUGAACGCUAGCGGCAGGCCUAACACAUGCAAGUCGAGGGGUAGCAGGAUUAAGCUUGCUUAAUUGCUGACGACCGGCGCACGGGUGCGUAACGCGUAUGCAACCUACCUUAUACUGGGGUAUAGCCCGGAGAAAUUCGGAUUAAUCCCCCAUAGUACUAAUGAAUCGCAUGGUUUAUUAGUUAAAGCAUUGCGGUAUAAGAUGGGCAUGCGUCCUAUUAGCUAGAUGGUGAGGUAACGGCUCACCAUGGCUACGAUAGGUAGGGGGCCUGAGCGAGUGGUCCCACACACUGGUACUGGGACACGGGGCAGACUCCUACGGGAGGCAGCAGUGAGGAAGUUUGGUAAAUGGGCGCAAGCCUGAACCAGCCAUGCCGCGUGCAGGAAGAAUGCCCUAUGGGUUGUAAACUGCUUUUAUUUGGGAAUAAACCUCUUUACGUGUAGAGAGCUGAAGGUACCAAAUGAAUAAGCACCGGCUAACUCCGUGCCAGCCGCCGCAGUAA
rnacentral:rRNA from 1 species